GACGAACGCUGGCGGCGUGCUUAACACAUGCAAGUCGAACGCUGAAGCUCAGCUUUUGUUGGGUGGAUGAGUGGCGAACGGGUGAGUAACACGUGAGUAACCUGCCCCCUUCUUUGGGAUAACGCCCGGAAACGGGUGCUAAUACUGGAUAUUCACUGGUCUUCGCAUGGGGGUUGGUGGAAAGGGUUUUUCUGGUGGGGGAUGGGCUCGCGGCCUAUCAGCUUGUUGGUGGGGUGAUGGCCUACCAAGGCUUUGACGGGUAGCCGGCCUGAGGGGGUGACCGGUCACAUUGGGACUGAGAUACGGCCCAGACUCCUACGGGAGGCAGCAGUGGGGAAGAUUGCGCAAUGGGCGCAAGCCUGAUGCAGCGACGCCGCGUGAGGGAUGGAGGCCUUCGGGUUGUGAACCUCUUUCGCUCAUGGUCAAGCCGCAACAAUGGUUGUGGUGAGGGUAGUGGGUAAAGAAGCGCCGGCUAACUACGUG
rnacentral:rRNA from 1 species